rnacentral:rRNA from 1 species
ACGAACGCUGGCGGCGUGCUUAACACAUGCAAGUCGAACGGAAAGGCCCUGCUUUUGUGGGGUUCUCGAGUUGCGAACGGGUGAGUAACACGUUAGUAACCUGCCCUUGACUUUGUGAUAACUUCAGGAAACUGGGGCUAAUACCGUAUAGUAGCUACUGCUGCAUGGUGGGGGUUGGAAAGUUUCGAGGGUUUGAGAUGGACUCGCGGCUUAUCAGAUUGUUGGUGGGGUAGUGGCUUACCAAGGCUUUUACGGGUAGCCGGCCUGAGAGGGUAACCGGCGACAUUGGGACUGAGAUAAGGCACAGACUCCAACGGGAGGCAGCAGUGGGGAAUAUUGCACAAUGGGCGGAAGCCUGAUGCAGCAACGAAGCGUGCGGGAUGACGGCCUUCGGGUUGUAAACCGCUUUCGCCUGUGACGAAGCGUGAGUGACGGUAAUGGGUAAAGAAGAAACGGCUAACUACGUG